GUGUGUGUAUAUAAUGCAGUGUGUUUGUGUAGUGUGCAUUAUAUAAACACUACACAAACACACAUUGCAUUAUAUACACUGUGU